UGCAGUCGUACGCACAUCGCACAGGAUGCUUGCACCUUUCAAGUGAGUGGCGAACGGGUGAGUAACACGUGGACAACCUGCCUCAAGGCUGGGGAUAACAUUUGGAAACAGAUGCUAAUACCGAAUAAAACUUAGUGUCGCAUGACACAAAGUUAAAAGGCGCUUCGGCGUCACCUAGAGAUGGAUCCGCGGUGCAUUAGUUAGUUGGUGGGGUAAAGGCCUACCAAGACAAUGAUGCAUAGCCGAGUUGAGAGACUGAUCGGCCACAUUGGGACUGAGACACGGCCCAAACUCCUACGGGAGGCUGCAGUAGGGAAUCUUCCACAAUGGGCGAAAGCCUGAUGGAGCAACGCCGCGUGUGUGAUGAAGGCUUUCGGGUCGUAAAGCACUGUUGUAUGGGAAGAACAGCUAGAAUAGGAAAUGAUUUUAGUUUGACGGUACCAUACCAGAAAGGGACGGCUAAAUACGUGCCAGCAGCCGCGGUAAUACGUAUGUCCCGAGCGUUAUCCGGAUUUAUUGGGCGUAAAGCGAGCGCAGACGGUUUAUUAAGUCUGAUGUG
rnacentral:rRNA from 1 species